UAGGGUGGCCACGACAUCCUAAACAAGCCCGAUCCCGUCUGAUCUCGGAAGCUAAGCAGGGUCGGGCAGUGGUUAGUGUUUGGAUAGGAGACCACCUAGAAAGACCAGGUGCUGUAGGUG
rnacentral:rRNA from 1 species